rnacentral:lncRNA from 1 species
UGGGUAUGCCGAGAUUAAGCUUCUUGAGGAACUGCCUCUUGCCACUAUUUUGUGGUAUACUGGAGUUGUUGUGCUAUAACAAUAAGAGCCUAGACUUGCUGAACCAAAAGGUUGAAUUGUUGUAGAUCAACCACAACUUGAGGUUAAGUAGUCUUUGGCACACCUCCUGGAGAAGAUGGUGUGAGUAGGCUCUGUGCCUUCCUAUUUACCAUUUUCACAAAAAGUUUUUGGGAAAAAUGCCCUUCCUCUAGCGUCAAUCCUAUCACAACAAGGCUCCAGAAAAAUGUUGAUGAGAUCAGCCUUGGAC